CAAAGCACAGCUAGAUAGAGUAGCGUUUCACUUACGUUGAAAAGGAUUACCGUGCAAAUCGGUUUGUUUUGA
rnacentral:tRNA from 1 species